rnacentral:misc_RNA from 1 species
UGUGGGAGGGGGCUUGCCCCCGAUGGCGGCGUAUCAGUUGGAGUAUCCAGCACUGAUCCAUCGCUAUCGGGGGCAAGCCCCCUCCCACA